AGGAUAUGCUCUCUUGUGAGCAGACAUAUUCUGUUAAAGGGGUAAAGCCACAUUUUGAUGGACAUGGACAUAAACCUUCUGGAAUGAUCUGACUAUGCAUCCUGCUUUUAUGUGACUCUGGCUUCUGAAUUCUUGUCAUGUUCAGAGCAAAGCCUGAGCCCUCUCAGCACACUAAGUGGAAGAAGCUCCUUGGCAUGUAUGGGAAUAAAUCUGACAACCUAUCUGGACUAAGGCAUCACUCAAGCUAUCGCUAUAGAGAAAGAAAGAUGGUCACAGAUUCAGGUAAUUAAGGGGUAAGCCUCUAGUAUUUGGAGUUCCUCUCUUCUUUUAGGCCAAAUCCCAGAGCAGCAGAUCGCCACCUGAUCUUGGUCUUCUCAAAGUUGCACCUCGCACUGAGCUGAGCAUUAGAUAGGAAUUCAAUCAGUUUUGGCCAAUGGAGGAGUCUCUAUUUGAAGUAGAUCAAGCCUCUGUACUUAGGGCCUAUGUCGCUCUGCUCUGAAAGGCCCAUACAGUGCCUAUUCUAUGUGAACUUGUGUCCAAAAGAACUAAUACUCAGAAGAAGCUGACUGAGGGGAGAGAGAAGACAAGCCAUUGCGGACAGAGCCCAGAGUAAGAAUUAAAGUGAGAGGUGGGACUGAGCAGUGUGUGCAGCUAAGAAAAUGAUUCCAGGCUGGGAGUGAAUGAGAGUCAAGAGAAAUGAGAUAAUACCUCUUCCUGGAUGGUGCUAGAAAGUGCUGGGUGUCCACCCUCACCUUUCAUCAGAGAAAUCACAGUCAUCAUUAGUGCAAACAGAGAUCUUCUCCUGCAGUAUUUAACCAGGGAUCUAUGCCCCUUUCUAUAAAUGGAGAGAGAUAAGUAGGGAGAAAAGGUUAGGCCACCAUUUAUCAGACAAAUUAGUAUGUGCCAGACAAUUUACUAAAUACUGUAUCAAAAGUAUACUCAUUGAAUUCAUAGAGCAAUUCUAUUGAUACAUUCAUUUAUUCAUUCAAACUAACUAUAGUCAGCAUUCAGUUGUCCUGGGCACUGGCAAUGCAGCAGUGCAUAAAAUACCCCAGCUCCCCAUCUUUGUGGAACUCAUAUUUACAGGGAGCAAAUAAUAAUAAAUAGUCACUUGAUAAGAAUUAAGAAAUAUGAGUUGGACUGCUUAUCCCUUUCUUGGAGAAGAGGAGACUGGGGUAAGAGGGUCAUUCACAGUCAGCAGCAAACCCAGACAUGGGUGUCUUCGAAUCCUGUGCUUUUAACUGCUAAGUCCUUCUGCUCUUCUCAUUCUCUUGGACACUGCAUGGCCUUUUACCUUGAAAUACUCCCAUGAUUUAAGCCAAAGGAACCAGUCAAUAUCCAGCAAAGGCCUUUGAGAAAUGUGGCAGGCCCUGCGCCUGCCCACAGGAGGAUUUGGAGCUCUGUAGAGUCUACCUCUUUCUGGAGCUCUCCGCACUAUUUAAUUUCUCUUCUUCAGAUCAAAUCACACCAUAGCUUUUAGCCCAGCUCAGCUCAGCUAAGUAUUAAUUUACAAAUUGCUGCUUCUGGGCCACUACGGUGUCACUGUGACUUAAUGACCUAAUUUCAAUACAGUUUUUCUGGCUCAGUCACCUAUUUGAGCCUUUGAGUGUUUCUUCUCCUCCUAUGCCACUUUG
rnacentral:lncRNA from 1 species